rnacentral:rRNA from 1 species
GACGAACGCUGGCGGCGUGCCUAAUACAUGCAAGUAGAACGCUGUUGCGAACGGGUGAGUAACGCGUAGGUAACUGCCGCAUAGCGGGGGUUAGCUAUGGGAAACGAUAGCUAAUACCGCAUACUUUGAGAUGGACCUGCGUUGUAUUCGCUAGUUGGUUAGGUAAAUGCUCAACAAGGCGACGAUACAUAGCCGACCUGAGAGGGGUGUCGGGCAAAAUGGGAAUUGGAACAGGCCCAGAAUCCUACGGGAGGGAGGCGUAGGGAAAUUUCGGCAAUGGGAGGAAAGCUGACCGAGCAAAGGCGCGUGAAGGAAGAAGGUUUUCGGAUCGUAAAGCUCCGUUGUUAGAGAAGCGGUAACUAACCAGAAAGGGACGGCUAACUACGUGCCAGCAGCCGCGGUAAUAC